AGUGAACGCUGGCGGUAGGCCUAACACAUGCAAGUCGAACGGCAGCACAGUAAGAGCUUGCUCUUACGGGUGGCGAGUGGCGGACGGGUGAGGAAUACAUCGGAAUCUACUUUUUCGUGGGGGAUAACGUAGGGAAACUUACGCUAAUACCGCAUACGACCUACGGGUGAAAGCAGGGGAUCUUCGGACCUUGCGCGAUUGAAUGAGCCGAUGUCGGAUUAGCUAGUUGGCGGGGUAAAGGCCCACCAAGGCGACGAUCCGUAGCUGGUCUGAGAGGAUGAUCAGCCACACUGGAACUGAGACACGGUCCAGACUCCUACGGGAGGCAGCAGUGGGGAAUAUUGGACAAUGGGCGAAAGCCUGAUCCAGCCAUGCCGCGUGGGUGAAGAAGGCCUUCGGGUUGUAAAGCCCUUUUGUUGGGAAAGAAAAGCAGCAUGUUAAUACCCCGCUGUUCUGACGGUACCCAAAGAAUAAGCACCGGCUAACUUCGUG
rnacentral:rRNA from 1 species